CGAGUUCACUGAACCUUCGGGGAACGUGAACGGCGUCGAGCGGCGGACGGGUGAGUAAUGCCUGGGAAAUUGCCCUGAUGUGGGGGAUAACCAUUGGAAACGAUGGCUAAUACCGCAUAAUAGCUUCGGCUCAAAGAGGGGGACCUUCGGGCCUCUCGCGUCAGGAUAUGCCCAGGUGGGAUUAGCUAGUUGGUGAGGUAAGGGCUCACCAAGGCAACGAUCCCUAGCUGGUCUGAGAGGAUGAUCAGCCACACUGGAACUGAGACACGGUCCAGACUCCUACGGGAGGCAGCAGUGGGGAAUAUUGCACAAUGGGCGCAAGCCUGAUGCAGCCAAGCCGCGUGUAUGAAGAAGGCCUUCGGGUUGUAAAGUACUUUCAGCAGUGAGGAAGGUAUCGUAGUUAAUAGCUGCGGUAUUUGACGUUAGCUGCAGAAGAAGCACCGGCUAACUCCGUGCCAGCAGCCGCGGUAAUACGGAGGUGCGAGCGUUAAUCGGAAUUACUGGGCGUAAAGCGCAUGCAGGUGGUUUGUUAAGUCAGAUGUGAAAGCCCGGGGCUCAACCUC
rnacentral:rRNA from 1 species